AGGUCGCUAGGAUAGUGGUAGUCUGCUCGCCUCCAAAUCGAGUGGUGGGGGUUCGAUUCCUCCGCGUCCUGCCA
rnacentral:tRNA from 1 species